rnacentral:rRNA from 1 species
UACGUAGGGGGCGAGCGUUAUCCGGAUUUAUUGGGCGUAAAGCGUGUGUAGGUGGUUUGUUAAGUUUAAGAUAAAAUCCCAGGGCUUAACCCUGGGUCGUCUUAAAAACUGGCAGACUUGAGUGUAGUAGAGGCAAACGGAAUUUCUAGUGUAGCGGUGGAAUGCGUAGAUAUUAGAAGGAACACCAGUGGCGAAGGCGGUUUGCUGGGCUAUUACUGACACUGAGACACGAAAGCGUGGGGAGCAAAUAGG